UUUAAGAACAACGUUUCUCAAAGCACAAUUGCAAGGAAUUUAGGGAUUUCAACACCAACGGUCCAUCAUAUCAUCAAAAAGUUCAGAGAAUCUGGAGAAAUCACUGCACGUAAGUGGCACGGCUGGAAACCAACAUUGAAUGCCUGUGACCUUCGAUCCCUCAGGUGGCACUGUAUCAAAAACUGACAUCAAUGUGUAAAGGAUAUCACCAUAUGGGCUCAGGAACACUUCAGAAAACCACUGUCAGUAAAUACAGAAAUUGUCGCUACAUCUGUAAGUGCAAGUUAAAACUCUACUAUACAAAGCAUAAGCCAUUUAUCAACAACAUCCAGAAACACCGUCAGCUUCUCUAGACCCAAGUUCAUUUAAGAUGGACUGAUGCAAAGUUAAAAAGUGUUCUGUGGUCUGACGAGUCCACAUUUCAAAUUGUUUUUGGAAAUAGUGGACGUUGUGUCCUCCUGGCCAACGAGGAAAAGAACCAUUUGGACUGUUAUCGAUGCAAAGUUCAAAAGCCAGCAUCUGUGAUGGUAUGGGGAUGCAUUAGUGCCCAAGGCAUGGGUACAGUGCAUCCGGAAAGUAUUCAUACCACUUCACUUUUUCCACAUUUUGUUAUGGUACAGCCUUAUUCCAAAAUGGAUUAAAUUCCUUUUUUCCCUCAAAAAUUCUACACAAAAUACCCCAUAUUGACAAAGCGAAAAACUUUUUUUAGAUCAUUUUGCAAAUUUGUUAAAAAUAAGACACUGAAAUGUUGCAAAUACAUAAGUACUCACACCCUUUGCUAUAAAACUCAAAAUUGAGCUCAGAUGCAUCCUGUUUCCUCUGAUCAGCCUUGAAAUGUUCCUCCAACUUGAAUGCAGUCCACCUGUGGCAAAUUCAGCUGAUUGGACAUGAUUUGGAAAGCCACACCUGUCUAUAUAAGAUCCCACAGCUGACAGAGCACGUCAGAGCACAAACCAAGCCAUGAAGUCGAAAAAAUUGUCUGUAGACCUUCGAAUCAGGGUUGUAUCGGUGUACAGAUCUGGGGAAGGUUACAGAAAAAUAUCUGCUGCAUUGAAGAUCCCAAAAAGCACAGUGGUCACCAUCAUUAAGAAAUGGAAGACGUUUGGAACCACCAGGACUCAUCCUAGAGCUGGCCGCCCAGCUAAAAUGAGGAAGCAGGGGAGAAGGGCCUUGGUCAGGGAGGUGACCAAGAACCCGAUGGUCACUCUGACAGAGCUCCAGCAUUCCUCUGAGGAGAUGGGAGAACCCUACAGAAGGACCACCAUCUCUGCAGCACUCCACCAGUCAGGCAUUUAUGGUAGAGUGGCCAGACAGAAGCCACUCCUCAGUAAAAAGUACAUGACAGCCCGCUUGGACUUUGCUAGAAGGCACUUGAAGGACUCACAGACCAGGAGAAACAAAAUUAUCUGGUCUGAUGAAACGAAGAUCGAACUCUUUGGCCUGAAUGCCAAGCGUCAUGUCUGGAGGAAACCAGGCACCGCUCACCACCUCGCCAAUACCAUCCCUACAGUGAAGCAUGGUGGUGGCAGCAUCAUGCUGUGGGGGUGUUUUUCAGCGGCAGGAACUGGGAGACUUGUCAGGAUCGAGGGCAAAAAGAAUGCAGCUAAGUACAUUGAAAUCCUUGAUGAAAACCUGCUCCAGAGCGCUCGAGACCUUGGACUUGGGCGACACUUCAUCUUCCAGCAUGACAAUGACCCUUAGCACACGGUCAAGAAGACAAAGGAGUGGCUUCAGGACAAGUCUCUGAAUGUCUUUGAGUGGCCCAGCCAGAGCCCAGACUUGAACCCGAUUGAACAUCUUUGGAAAGACCUGAAAGUAGCUGUGCACCGACGCUGCCCAUCCAACCUCACUGAGCUUGAGAGGAUGUGCAAGGAAGAAUAAGAAAAACUCCCCAAAUCCAGAUGUGCCAAGCUUGUUGCAUCAUACACAAGAAGACUGGAGGCUGUAAUCACUGCCAAAGGUGCUUCGACCAAGUAUUGAGUAAAGGGUGUGAAUACUUAUGUAUAUGCAACAUUUGAGUGUUCUUAUUUUUAAUAAAUUUGCAAAAUGUUCUAAAAAAAGUCUUUUGCUUUGUCAUUAUGGGGUAUUUUGUGUAGAAUUUUUGAGGGAAAAAGGGAAUUUAAUCCAUUUUGGAAUAAGGCUGUAACAUAACAAAAUGUGGAAAAAGUGAAGUGGUAUGAAUACUUUCCGGAUGCACUGUAACUUGCACAUCCAUGAAGGCAACAUUAAUGCUGAAAGGUACAUACAGGUUUUCAACAUAUGCUGCCAUCCAAGCAAUGUCUUUUUCAUGGAAGCCCCUGCUUAUUUCAGCAAGACAAUGCCAAGCCACAUUCUGCACAUGUUGCAACAGUGUGGCUUCGUAGUAAAAGAAUGCGGGUACUUGACUGGCCUGCCUGCAGUCCAGACCUGUCUCCCAUUGAAAAUGUGUGGCGCAUUAUGAAUCUAGAAAUAUGACAACAAGACCCUGGGCUGUUGAACAACUGAAGCUGUACAUCAAACAAGAAUGGGAAAGAAUUCCACCUGCAAAGCUUCAACAAUUAGUCUCCUCAGUUCCCAAACGUUUAUUGAGCAUUGUUAAAAGGAAAGGUGAUGCAACAAAGUGGUAAACAUGUCCUUGUCCCAACUACUUUGGCACGUGUUGCAGCCAUGAAAUUCUGAGUUAAUUAUUAUUUGCAAAAAAAAAUAAAAUUUAUUAGUCUGAACAUUAAAUAUCUUGUCUUUGUAGUGUAUUCAAUUAAAUAUAGGUUGAAAAGGAUUUACAAAUCAUUGUAUUCUGUUUUUAUUCACGUUUAUCACAAUUUCCCAACUUCAAUGGAAUUGUGUUUUGUAUUAAAUACUAAUAGAUCCCUACUUUUAUCAAUCACUGUCCUGGUUACUUAAACAAUGCACCAUGCUGUAACACUGAUAUAUCUGUGUAUUUGUCAGUCAAGUCACUGCCAAGGCUGUUGCUGUUUGAACCAACACAAAAUAAACAUCCCAAAUGCACUAUGUGUCAAAGUUUAUUCCCUCUAAAUCUGCAUUUGUGCCUAGAUUGUGGGUCUCUUCAUGACUUUCCUAGUCAAAGAGCCAUUCACAGCUUAUCGCAAUGCUGCUUCGUAACUUAGUCACAGCAAUAACAAAAUCUUGUUGCCACAGGCACAAUCAUCUGUUGGAGUUCUUGAAAAUUGGGUCAUCAAAUGAAUAGAGACCUGGGGAAUAUCACUCCAAACAUGGCAAGUCUUUAGGUAUUGUACCCAAGGAAAUGUCUCUGUCCUGUCUCUGCCGAAUCACUGAGGGAAGAGCAGCUCAUCAUGUCAUGUCUCUUCAAUGACCUAUUGGGAAAGAGUUAUUCUGAUGUAUUGCAUGGGUACAAAAAAGAUUUUAAGUUCUUAUGCCACUGUCUGCAAAACCUGUACACUAGAGGUCAUCUGAUUACCUUUGCAUUUAAUGCAAUAAUUAGUGUAAAUAAAAUGCAAUUCAACUCAAAUUCAACUUUAUUUAUAUGGCACUUUUCAUACAAGACUGUAACACAAAGUGCCUCACAAAGGCUAAAAACAACAAUAAAACCCAACCCUCCCAUCCACACACACACACCCAUAGACCCACACACACACAAAGACACACACCCACCCUCACCAACCCAUACAUACACCCACAAGCACACACAAGAUAUAUUGUUCAAGAGACAUGGCUUGAAACCGAAACAUUGCAUGAGGAAAGAGCUACCUUUGGGAAACACUGGAGAUAAAAAGAUAAAAAUGGUACAAAGAAAGAGUAACACCUGGUGGGCUAAGACAAGAAGAAAUUAUAAAAUGAACAAAUAAGUAAGAGCUUUUUACCAUGUAAAAGGGGUAAAAGAAGUAUAUACCUCAUUUGAGGGGUUAUUAAAAAGCAUAAGAACAGAGAUAAUUAAUUAAAAAACAUAAAACAAACAUUAAGCAUUUUGAUUGCAAUAACCUGUAGCAAAAAAGAAAUAAGACAAGGCUAUCAGUAAAAAGCCUGGUUAAAAAGGUGAGUCUUGAGCCUCUUCUUAAAAACAUCAACUGUCUGUGCCGGAAAGCCUCGGGGUAAGGUUAAAAGGCCUGUGCUGGCGGACCUCAGGGUCAGCGAGGGUUGAUAUGAUAAAAGUAAGUCAGAUCAAUAGGAGGGGCCAAGACCAUUAUUACAUCUAAUAAAAGAACCUUAAAAAUCAAUCCUGAAAUAUUUAUUCAAAUUCAAAAUUCAAAUGAUGCGCUUGAACCCCCCCAGUCUUAUCUCAGUCCACAUUCAGUAAUAAUCAAACCAACAGCCAGAAAUCUGGGAGUAACCAUCGAUUCAGACCUCACCUUCUCCACCCACAUCAACAAGAUUGUCCAGUCCUGUUUCCUUCACCUGCGUUCUAUUGCAAAGAUUAAACAGAUACCCACUCCACCAGAUCUCGAAAAGAUAAUCCACGCUUUCAUUUUCUCAAGACUGGACUAUUGUAACUCUCUCCUCCCUGGUUUAAACAAGAAAUCACUCUCUUGCCUCCAACUAGUUCAGAAUGCAGCAGCUAGGCUUUUAACUGGUUUUAGCAGACGGCAUCACAUCACUCCAAUUUUAGCCUCCCUUCACUGGCUUCCUGUCAGUUUUAGAAUUGAUUUUAAGAUUUUAUUGAUCAAUUUUAAAGCGCUUAAAGGACUUGCUCCGAGCUACAUUUCAAAGCUUUUAAUAACUUAUGAGCCAACUCCCAGCCUCAGAUCCUCUGGCGAAGGCCUCCUAGUCGUUCCAAAGUCAAGGCUCAAAACUAAAGGUGAUAGAGCUUUCUCCAUCAGAGCUCCUCGACUUUGGAACGACCUGCCAGAGAAGAUAAGGUGUGCAGAGACAGUCGCUUCUUUUAAGUCAAAUUUAAAAACUCACUUUUACAGACUUGCUUUUAUGUGAUGCCGUCUUUUACCUUUUUUCUCCUUUUUCUUUUAUCUCUUAUUUCGACUUGCUAUCCUUUUAGCCUUUGUUUUACUUAUAAUCUUUUCUUAUUUUACCUCUUAGGUCCUUGAUGUUUUUUUUUUAUUAUUCCAUUUUAUCAUUGGAAAAAGAAAAGAAGAUAGGGAAUAAUCUACAACACAGCAACAUCCGUGAAGUGUGGAGAGGAAUCAGUACCAUCUCUGGACACAGCAGUCAAAAGAAAAGACAGUCAGUGGUGGGUGAUGUGAAAAGAGCUGAUGAACUUAACCUGUUCUUCAACAGAUUUGACACUGCUGUCACUCCCACUUGCACUGCUACUCCACCUUCCUCUCCGCAACAAAUUUCCACUACAACUUCUCCCCUUCCUCCUCCAUCUCCUUCAAAUUUCUCAACCACUUCAACUGCCUCCCUCCUAGAACACCAGUUCUUGUCUGUCACCGAAACAGGGAGUUUGGAGGACUUUGUCCCGGGAAGGCAGCUGGUCCAGAUGGUGUGUGUCCACGGCUGCUUAGAGACUGUGCUGCAGAACUGUGUCAACCUCUCCACAAGAUCUUCAACCUGAGUCCACAGCUGGGGCGGGUACCUGCUCUGUGGAAAACAUCCUGCAUUGUGCCAGUACCAAAAACAGAAUGUCCUGCUAAGCUCAAUGACUACAGACCAGUGGCCCUCACUUCACACAUCAUGAAAACCCUGGAGCGGCUGAUUCUACGCCUUCUGAGGUCUGAGGUCAAAGACAAACUGGACUCCCUGCAGUUUGCUUACAAAGAACACAUUGGAGUGGAUGAUGCUGUCCUCUACAUGCUUCACCCUGCCCUGCCUCAUCUGGAGGAACCUGGGGUUUAUGUGAGGACCAUGUUCUUCGACUUUUCAAGUGCAUUCAACACCAUCCAACCCACCAUACUCAAAGACAAUCUCACAGAGAUGGCAGACUUCAAAUACAGUACUGAGUCCUGCCACAUCCAGAAAUACUCAGAUGACACCGCUAUUGUGGUAUGUAUCAGAAAUGGACAAGAAGCUGAGUACAGAGCUCUAAUUAGAGCCUUCAGUGACUGGAGUCACAAAAGCUGCCUCCUCCUCAACACCUCAAAGACAAAGGAGAUGGUCAUAGACUUCUGUAGAUCCAAACCCCCUCUUCAGCCAGUGAACACCUGUGGAGUGGACAUAGAAGUGAUGACAUCAUAUAAAUACCUAGGUGUACAUCUGGAUAAUAAGUUGGAUUGGUCUGAGAAUAUAGACUACAUCUACAGAAAUGGGCAAAGCCGCCUCUUUUGCCUGAGAAGACUCUGAUCAGUAGACAUCUGUAGUAAGAUGCUGCAGAUGUUUUAUCAGUCUGUGGUGACAAGUGUGCUGUUCGACGCUGCAGUCUGCUGGGGAGGAAGCAUCAAACACAAAGAUGCAAGACGUCUUAACAAGUUGGUGAAAAAGGCUGGCUCUGUGGUAGCACUCAAGCUGGACUCAGUAGAGGAUGUGGUGGAGAGAUCUACACUGAGGAAGGUGGAGAUUAUUCUCAAGAACAUGGAUCACCCACUUCACAACACCUUGAUGGACCAAAGGGCAAAUGGUGGUGGACAGCUCCUCU